CCAAAGGAUGAAACACUUGAUUGGGGAUCACUGUUGCAUUCUCUAUUAAAAAGGAAAAGAUGAGAAUUGACAUCAUUUUUGAAAGAAUGUCAUCCGGGGAAGAUGAUGCAGCAAAAGCUGAAAUCACUGUGACCUCUACAGAUCCCAGCUGCAGUGCAAGGCCCGUGAAGAAGUUCUCAAAGUCAAGCUAUGGCCAGCAGGAAUCAAAUACCUUCACUGUUUCCUGUUAUGUUUCCUGAAGAUGUAUUAGCAUAUAUUUCUGCUUGGAUUAAAAGGCGGGCCACCACCUUUGCCCCUUGACAAGCUGAGACCUGCAAAGUUUGAAGCAAGCACAGUGCCUCCACACAGCAGUCGGUGAAGUUUGAGACACACAGUUGCAAGGGCCUGAUCAAGGAUACCGUCACCCUGGAGACAUUCUGAAAUACAGAGUAUGACAGUUGGCAAUUAACAGGGAUAGCUUUACAAAUUACCAAACAGCUAUGAACACCAAGCCAAUGGAAGGGAUAAAACAGCAAUAUUUAAUAAAUGGGUCUUACUCUUCCAUUUACUGUAAUGGUCAAGAAAAUGCUCAACAUCCUACAGGUGAUUGUUAGCUACUUAUUCAUUUACAGGACAUUGAUUUCCCCCACUGAAGAGCAGGGGGGAGCUAUCAAAACGCCCAUGGCAAUCAGCCAAAGGCAAGAAUCUCGUUCGAGAAUUCUGGAAAGAGAAUCACAUGAGAUACUUAAGAAGUCGAUCUAAGAUCUUGUACUGGCACCGAAGAGGAGAAUUGCUUCUUCGACUAACCCUCUGAUGCGUGACUUGCAAGCUCCAGUCAUCCGUUCCGUUUCUACCAGUACAAUCUGAAAGGGGCAAUAAUCCUAGAAGACAGCAGAGAACGAUAUUAUCAGAUGUCUUAUCAUCCCUCAAGCAUCGUUCCUUCUUGGGAAGAUAAAAAAUUCAUUUUGCAAAAGAGAAAAUAAUUUCCUCCCCAUGCUCUUUGGCAUUCCAAAGCUUCCCGGGGAUAUCCCCAAAAUGGUUUUGAAGGAUUCUUACCAGUUUCAUUGUCUGCCACAGCAAGAGAGAAAAUAUCUGCCUGACUGUUGGUCAAAGAAGCAGUGACAGUUGUCCCAGACAUGUAGAUAAGUGAAGGUUGGAAAUCUAAAGACACAAAUCAGGAUCAUUUUUUGUAUUAGUAUUAUCACUCAUUAAACAUCUGGGAAA